rnacentral:rRNA from 1 species
UCUAGGAGAUGAGCCCGCUUGGAUUAGCUAGUUGGUAGGGUAAAGGCUUACCAAGGCGACGAUCCAUAGCUGGUUUGAGAGAAUGGCCAGCCACACUGGGACUGAGACACGGCCCAGACUCCUACGGGAGGCAGCAGUGGGGAAUAUUGGACAAUGGGGGGAACCCUGAUCCAGCAAUGCCACGUGUGUGAAGAAGGCCUUAGGGUUGUAAAGCACUUUCAGCGGGGAGGAAGGGACUGAUACUAAUACUAUUGGUCAUUGACGUUACCUGCAGAAGAAGCACCGGCUAACUCCGUGCCAGCAGCCGCGGUAAUACGGAGGGUGCGAGCGUUAAUCGGAAUUACUGGGCGUAAAGGGCGCGUAGGCGGAAGAUUAAGUUGGAUGUGAAAUCCCAGGGCUCAACCUUGGAACUGCAUCCGAAACUGGUUUUCUAGAGUAUGGUAGAGGAAAGUGGUUUCGCAGGUGUAGCC